rnacentral:rRNA from 1 species
UACGAAGGGGGCUAGCGUUGUUCGGAUUUACUGGGCGUAAAGCGCACGUAGGCGGAUUGGUAAGUUAGGGGUGAAAUCCUGGAGCUCAACUCCAGAACUGCCUUUAAUACUGCCAGUCUAGAGUCCGGAAGAGGUAAGUGGAACUCCUAGUGUAGAGGUGGAAUUCGUAGAUAUUAGGAAGAACACCAGUGGCGAAGGCGGCUUACUGGUCCGGUACUGACGCUGAGGUGCGAAAGCGUGGGGAGCAAACAG